UNGGCUGGGAGCCUCCUUUUGCAUUUU
rnacentral:piRNA from 1 species